rnacentral:lncRNA from 1 species
CCAGCAUGAUGUUUGGUCCCAACUGUAUUCACCAGAAGAAAAUGGUAGAAUCGUUGCACAAGAAAGUUUCAGCAAAAUAUUGUACCAUCUUCCCUAGUGUAGAAAUCAAUGAAGCCGGCGAUUGUUUGGCACCAUUUUGGAGACAAAAGUAUGCAUCUUGAUUGAUACAUCUGGUUCCAUGGACCCUUAUUUGCAACAGGUCACAAAAGAGCUUACCUCCCUCAUCUGGGAACAGCUAAGAAAGAAUAACACUAGAUUUAACCUGCUGAGAUUUGCAGAAGACACAGACACUUGGCAGGAGUGCCUUGUAGAGGCUACAGAUGAAACAUGUCAUGAUGCUGUACAGUGGGUGUCAAAAUUCCAAG